rnacentral:siRNA from 1 species
UCGUUUUCUCGGUGCUGGUGG